CAGCAGCCGCGGUAAUACAGAGGGUGCGAGCGUUAAUCGGAUUUACUGGGCGUAAAGUGUGCGUAGGCGGCUAAUUGAGUCGGAUGUGAAAUCCCCGAGCUUAACUUGGGAAUUGCAUUCGAUACUGGUUAGCUAGAGUGUGGGAGAGGAUGGUAGAAUUCCAGGUGUAGCUGUGAAAUGCGUAGAGAUCUGGAGGAAUACCGAUGGCGAAGGCAGCCAUCUGGCCUAACACUGACGCUGAGGUACGAAAGCAUGGGGAGCAAACAGGAUUAGAUACCCCCGUAGUCCCUGUCUCUUAUAC
rnacentral:rRNA from 1 species